ensembl:lncRNA
CAUUUGUUUGAGGGGAGUCCUCACUAUGGAAAAUAGACUGCACAAAUCCUGUCUCUCUCUGAGCUGCAAUGAUAUCAAUGCUCCAAAUAGAUUUAGAGUUAGAAAGCGUUGUUUGAGGGCAAGUCAAGGCAGUUUUCGCUUUGCCUCUACUCAGUUAUGGUGCAUUAGAAGUCAAAUAUCUUCAAUAAUUCAUAUUUUAAUGAUAAAUUGUCAACACUGUAAGAUUCCCCCAUCUCUUCUGAACAAAACGGUGUAAGAAUGACUGUUCUAGCCCCUACGGUUAGGAAAUUAUAGCCAUUUGUUUGAGGGGAAUCCUGACUAUGAAAAAGAGACAGCACAAAUCCUGUCUCUGUGCUGCGUGUGUGUAAAAACAGGUGCACCUGUUUUUGCGGGAAAAAGUACACAGCCUCUCUGAUUGGUGGAUUCAAAUUUAGCAGCUCCCAGGCUGCUUGACUGACCUAGAAACUUGAUUUUCUCUCCUUGUGUGUGUGUGUGUGUGUGUGUGUGUGUGUGUGUGUGUUUUUGUCUGUCUGUCUGUGUGUGUGUGUGUGUGUGUGUGUGUGUGUGUGUGUGACAGAGAGAGAGAGAAAGAGAGGGCGAGAGAGUUUUUUUAUGGGAGCAUCUUAUUGUAUGAUUUAAAUUCAAUAUAUUUAGACUGGUUGACUGAAUUUGAUCCUGUGUGUGUCUCUCUGUGCAUGUGUGUUUCCAUAUGUGUACAUAUUUGUGAUUGUGUGACUGUUAUACUUUUUUUGCUGAUUUUUUUUCGUUUCACAAUUACAUUUGAGGGACCCUUAGCAUGUUCAGGAUUUUUUCAGCUGUCCAUUUUGCUUUUCCAAUUUUUCUAUUUAAGUUAUUACUAUUGUGCUAAGUCAUAGAAUUUCUGCUGCUUUUCAGUAUUUAUUUUUAUUUCAGUAAUCAUACUAUUUCUGCCAUUUUAUAGGAUUUGUACUUAAUAUAGUAUUUCUGCUUAAUUAUAGUAUUUCUGCCAUUUUAUAAGAUUUGUGCUAAAUAUAGUUUUUCUGCUAAAAAAUAGUAUUUCUGCCAAAUAUAGUAUUUUUGAUUAAUUAUAGUUUUUCUACCAAAUCAUAGUACAGUUUUACUGCUUUUUAUAUGGCUUCUAAGACAACCAAUCAUAUCUGAGGCCUGGCACAUUCAAAUUUGCAUAUUGUUGCCUUCAUGGCUUCCCAGCCAGCCAAUCAUAUCUGAGGCCUGGCACAUUCAAAUUUGCAUAUUGGGGCCUUCAUGGCUUCUAAGCCAACCAAUCAUCUAUGUCAUAUAUCUUUAAUAUUUCAUGUUUGUAUUUUAAAUGGUCAACAUUUCAAGAUUCCCCCAUGUCUUCUGAACAAAACGGUCUAAGAAUGACUGUUUUAGCCCCUACGGUUAGGAAUUUAUGGCUGUUUGUUUGAGGGGAGUCCUGACUAUGAGAAAUAGACUGCAAAAAUCCUGUCUCUCUCUGUGCUGCAUGUGUAAAAGCCUGCACUUGGUGCACCAGUUUUGGCGGGAAAAAGCACACAGCCUCUCUGAUUGGUGGAUUCAAAUUGAGAAGCUCACAGCUGUUUUACUGACCUAGAAACAUGCUGUUAACAGCCCCUGUUCACUUGCUGCUGCUGCUGUGUGUGUGUGUGUGUGUGUGUGUGUGUGUGUGUGUGUGUGUGUGUGAGUGAGAGAGAGAGAGAGAGAGAGAGAGAGAGAGAGACACAAAGACCUUUUUUAGGGCAGCAUCUCAUUGUUGGAUAAAAAUAUAAUAUAUUCAGACUGGUUGACUGGCAUAGACCCUGUGUGUUUGUCUCUCUCUGUACAUUUGUGUAUCCAUAUUUGAUUUUCUGUGUAUUUGGUGAUUUGUGUAUCCAUAUUUGAUUUUGUGUAUCAGUUGGCUGUUCUUAGUUUUUUUUUUCUAAAUGUAUUUUUAUUUUAUUUUUUCAUAGGUGAACAAAAAUUAGUUUUGAGCGAACUUAACCAUGUUCCUUUUUACUCAGCUUAUCAUUUUACCUUUCCAAUAUUUUCACUUAAGUUAUUACUAUUCUGCUCAAUCAUAUUAUCUGUUCUAAAUCAUUGUUAUUAAGCUAUAUUGUAGGAUUUCUGCUAAAUCAUAGUAUUUCUACUAUAUUAUAUUUUUCUUUCUAAAUAGUGUAGAAUAGUGUAGAAUAAUAGAAUAGUGUUUCUCCUAUAUUAUAAUAUUUGUGCUAAACUGGAGUAUUUUUGCUAAAACAUAGUAUUUAUAUAAAAUUACAAUAUUCAUAGUAUAUUACAGUGUCUCUGGUAAAUCACAGCAUUUCUGCUAUGUUGUACUGUUUUUCUAAAUCAUAGUAUUUCUGUAAUGUUUAAGAGUGUUUGGCUAAAUAUAUUCUUUCUGUUAUCUUAUACUAUUUCUCCUAAAUUCUUGUAUUUUUGAGAAGUUAUCGUGUUUCUGGUAAGUUACAAUAUUUCUGCUAAGUUCUGCU